GUUCGUCACGUCGGAUGUGAAACUCUGGGGCUUAACCCCAGACCUGCAUUCGAUACGGGCGAGCUUGAGUAUGGUAGGGGAGUCUGGAAUUCCUGGUGUAGCGGUGGAAUGCGCAGAUAUCAGGAGGAACACCAAUGGCGAAGGCAGGACUCUGGGCCAUUACUGACACUGAGGAGCGAAAGCGUGGGGAGCGAACAGGAUUAGAUACCCUGGUAGUCCACGCCGUAAACGGUGGGCACUAGUUGUGGGGACCUUCCACGGUCUCUGCGACGCAGCUAACGCAUUAAGUGCCCCGCCUGGGGAGUACGAUCGCAAGAUUAAAACUCAAAGGAAUUGACGGGGCCCCGCACAAGCAGCGGAGCAUGCGGCUUAAUUCGACGCAACGCGAAGAACCUUACCAAGGCUUGACAUAUACAGGAAUAUGGCAGAGAUGUCAUAGCCGCAAGGUCUGUAUACAGGUGGUGCAUGGUUGUCGUCAGCUCGUGUCGUGAGAUGUUGGGUUAAGUCCCGCAACGAGCGCAACCCUCGUUCUGUGUUGCCAGCAUUUAGUUGGGGACUCACAGGAGACUGCCGGGGUUAACUCGGAGGAAGGUGGGGAUGACGUCAAAUCAUCAUGCCCCUUAUGUCUUGGGCUGCACGCAUGCUACAAUGGCUGGUACAAACGGCUGCGAUACCGCAAGGUGGAGCGAAUCCGAUAAAGCCAGUCUCAGUUCGGAUUGGGGUCUGCAACUCGACCCCAUGAAGUCGGAGUUGCUAGUA
rnacentral:rRNA from 1 species